ACAAAUGCCCUGCUUCCAGGAAAAGCCUCUAAGCAUCAGGUAACAUCAAAUCGUACCCCAAACCGACACAGGUGGUCAGGUAGAGAAUACCAAGGCGCUUGAGAGAACUCGGGUGAAGGAACUAGGCAAAAUGGUGCCGUAACUUCGGGAGAAGGCACGCUGAUAUGUAGGUGAAGCGACUUGCUCGUGGAGCUGAAAUCAGUCGAAGAUACCAGCUGGCUGCAACUGUUUAUUAAAAACACAGCACUGUGCAAACACGAAAGUGGACGUAUACGGUGUGACGCCUGCCCGGUGCCGGAAGGUUAAUUGAUGGGGUUAGCGGCAACGCGAAGCUCUUGAUCGAAGCCCCGGUAAACGGCGGCCGUAACUAUAACGGUCCUAAGGUAGCGAAAUUCCUUGUCGGGUAAGUUCCGACCUGCACGAAUGGCGUAAUGAUGGCCAGGCUGUCUCCACCCGAGACUCAGUGAAAUUGAACUCGCUGUGAAGAUGCAGUGUACCCGCGGCAAGACGGAAAGACCCCGUGAACCUUUACUAUAGCUUGACACUGAACAUUGAGCCUUGAUGUGUAGGAUAGGUGGGAGGCUUUGAAGUGUGGACGCCAGUCUGCAUGGAGCCGACCUUGAAAUACCACCCUUUAAUGUUUGAUGUUCUAACGUUGGCCCGUAAUCCGGGUUGCGGACAGUGUCUGGUGGGUAGUUUGACUGGGGCGGUCUCCUCCUAAAGAGUAACGGAGGAGCACGAAGGUUGGCUAAUCCUGGUCGGACAUCAGGAGGUUAGUGCAAUGGCAUAAGCCAGCUUGACUGCGAGCGUGACGGCGCGAGCAGGUGCGAAAGCAGGUCAUAGUGAUCCGGUGGUUCUGAAUGGAAGGGCCAUCGCUCAACGGAUAAAAGGUACUCCGGGGAUAACAGGCUGAUACCGCCCAAGAGUUCAUAUCGACGGCGGUGUUUGGCACCUCGAUGUCGGCUCAUCACAUCCUGGGGCUGAAGUAGGUCCCAAGGGUAUGGCUGUUCGCCAUUUAAAGUGGUACGCGAGCUGGGUUUAGAACGUCGUGAGACAGUUCGGUCCCUAUCUGCCGUGGGCGCUGGAGAACUGAGGGGGGCUGCUCCUAGUACGAGAGGACCGGAGUGGACGCAUCACUGGUGUUCGGGUUGUCAUGCCAAUGGCACUGCCCGGUAGCUAAAUGCGGAAGAGAUAAGUGCUGAAAGCAUCUAAGCACGAAACUUGCCCCGAGAUGAGUUCUCCCUGAGACUUAGAGUCUCCUGAAGGAACGUUGAAGACGACGACGUUGAUAGGCCGGGUGUGUAAGCGCAGCGAUGCGUUGAGCUAACCGGUACUAAUGAACCGUGAGGCUUAACC
rnacentral:rRNA from 1 species